rnacentral:lncRNA from 1 species
AAUUUAAUUUAAAUAUCAAAAAAAAUCUUUCAAAUUAUGUGAUUUUUGAAUUAUUUUAUGUUAUUAGUAUUGUUGUUAUGGCAUGUGUGAGUGGAUAAUUGAACAAGUUUAGGAAAUUUAAGGAUCUUUGGUAAGAACUAGAUUGAUAUUUCAUAUAAAAAAAUAAAAAGUAAUUAAUUGUAGAAAAUUAGGAUAAAUCACUAAUUAAAAGAAUUUUAUUUAA